rnacentral:rRNA from 1 species
CCUACGGGCGGCUGCAGUGGGGAAUUUUGGACAAUGGGGGCAACCCUGAUCCAGCCAUGCCGCGUGCGGGAAGAAGGCCUUCGGGUUGUAAACCGCUUUUAGUCGGGAAGAAAAGGCGCGGCCUAAUACGUCGCGUUCUUGACGGUACCGGCGGAAUAAGCACCGGCUAACUACGUGCCAGCAGCCGCGGUAAUACGUAGGGUGCGAGCGUUAAUCGGAAUUACUGGGCGUAAAGCGUGCGCAGGCGGUUCGUUAAGUCUGAUGUGAAAGCCCCGGGCUCAACCUGGGAAUGGCAUUGGAAACUGGCGGGCUUGAGUGUGGCAGAGGGGGGUGGAAUUCCGCGUGUAGCAGUGAAAUGCGUAGAGAUGCGGAGGAACACCGAUGGCGAAGGCAGCCCCCUGGGCUAACACUGACGCUCAGGCACGAAAGCGUGGGGAGCAAACAGGAUUAGAUACCCCAGUAGUC